rnacentral:rRNA from 1 species
AGCUCCAAUAGCGUAUACUAAAGUUGUUGCAGUUAAAAAGCUCGUAGUUGAAUUUCUGAUAUAAUAGGAUGGGUUUUAUUUUUCAUUAAAUAUUACUUCCAUUAUUUUUAUUAUAUCAUCAUCGAAAAGAUUAUAUUUUGGUCAUUCAUUUGUCUAGUAUAAGAUUUUCGUCAUUUACUGUGAGUAAAAUAGAGUGUUCAAAGCAGGCUUAAGCUGUUGAAUAUAUUAGCAUGGAAUAAUAAGAUAAGACCUUGGUCUAAAUAUUUUGUUGGUUUGUUUAUCAAGGUAAUGAUUAAUAGGGAUAGUUGGGGGUAUUCGUAUUCAAUUGUCAGAGGUGAAAUUCUUGGAUUUAUGGAAGACGAACAACUGCGAAAGCAUUUACCAAGGAUGUUUUCAUUA